GCGGGGGUAGCCAAGUCAGGUCAAAGGCAGCUAUACGCGAUAGACGUUCGAGGGUUCAAACCCCUCCCCCCGCA
rnacentral:tRNA from 1 species